rnacentral:misc_RNA from 1 species
GAAAUGCGAUAAGUAAUGUGAAUUGCAGAAUUCAGUGAAUCAUCGAAUCUUUGAACGCACCUUGCGAUCAUUGGUAUUCCUUGGAGCAUGCCUGUUUGAGUAUCAUGAAAUCUUCAAAGUAAAUCUUUUGUUAACUCAAUUGGUUUCUACUUUGGUAUUGGAGGUCUUUGCAGCUUCACACCUGCUCCUCUUUGUUCAUUAGCUGGAUCUCAGUGUUAUGCUUGGUUCCACUCGGAGUGAUAAGUUAUCUAUCGCUGAGGACACUGUAAAAGGUGGCCAAGGUAAAUGCAGAUGAACCGCUUCUAAUAGUCCAUUGACUUGGACAAUACUUUUAUGAUCUGAUCUCAAAUCAGGUAGGACUACCCGCUGAACUUAAGC